CGAACGCUGGCGGCGUGCCUAAUACAUGCAAGUCGAGCGGACUGAUUAAGAGCUUGCUCUUAUGACGUUAGCGGCGGACGGGUGAGUAACACGUGGGCAACCUGCCCUGUAGAUCGGGAUAACACCGAGAAAUCGGUGCUAAUACCGGGUAAUAUCUGAGAUCACAUGAUCUUAGGUUAAAAGAUGGCUCCGGCUAUCACUACAGGAUGGGCCCGCGGCGCAUUAGCUAGUUGGUAAGGUAAUGGCUUACCAAGGCGACGAUGCGUAGCCGACCUGAGAGGGUGAUCGGCCACACUGGGACUGAGACACGGCCCAGACUCCUACGGGAGGCAGCAGUAGGGAAUCUUCCGCAAUGGACGAAAGUCUGACGGAGCAACGCCGCGUGAGUGAUGAAGGGUUUCGGCUCGUAAAGCUCUGUUGUUAGGGAAGAAACAGUACCGAACGAACUAGGUCGGUACCUUGACGGUACCUAACCAGAAAGCCACGGCUAACUACGUA
rnacentral:rRNA from 1 species